CCGUGGUGACAAUCGUCCAUGAAUCACUCCCGCAUCUCAAACAGCCAAAACCGGCGGUCAUUGACAAUGGUUUCAGUUUAAAUUUUAUCAAAUUUUAUAUAAGUAACAUUUUAUGCAGGCCAAAAACCGAUUUAAAAAAAUUAGACUGUCAAAUUAUAGUCUGAAUCCUUCAAAUAACGUCUCUGUAUUCAACGCCGCCAUCACUGAAUGGAAAUCACCAUCUGGUCUGGCAAUGUUACUAAGUCGUU